GGGUACUCGAGCGGCGAACGGGUGAGUAACACGUGAGUAAUCUGCCCUGCGCUCUGGGAUAGCCACCGGAAACGGUGAUUAAUACCGGAUAGGACCACUUCACGCAUGUGAUGGUGGUGGAAAGUUUUUUCGGCGCAGGAUGUGCUCGCGGCCUAUCAGCUUGUUGGUGAGGUAACGGCUCACCAAGGCUUUGACGGGUAACCGGCCUGAGAGGGUGACCGGUCACACUGGGACUGAGACACGGCCCAGACUCCUACGGGAGGCAGCAGUGGGGAAUAUUGGACAAUGGGCGGAAGCCUGAUCCAGCAACGCCGCGUGAGGGAUGACGGCCUUCGGGUUGUAAACCUCUUUCAGUACCGACGAAGCGAAAGUGACGGUAGGUACAGAAGAAGGACCGGCCAACUACGUGCCAGCAGCCGCGGUAAUACGUAGGGUCCGAGCGUUGUCCGGAAUUAUUGGGCGUAAAGGGCUCGUAGGCGGUUUGUCGCGUCGGGAGUGAAAACACCGGGCUUAACUCGGUGCUUGCUUUCGAUACGGGCAGACUAGAGGUAUGCAGGGGAGAAUGGAAUUCCUGGUGUAGCGGUGAAAUGCGCAGAUAUCAGGAGGAACACCGGUGGCGAAGGCGGUUCUCUGGGCAUUACCUGACGCUGAGGAGCGAAAGUGUGGGGAGCGAACAGGAUUAGAUACCCUGGUAGUCCACACCGUAAACGUUGGGCGCUAGGUGUGGGGCCUAUUCCA
rnacentral:rRNA from 1 species